rnacentral:rRNA from 1 species
GACGAACGCUGGCGGCGUGCCUAAUACAUGCAAGUCGAACGCAGUGGGGACGGGUGAGUAACACGUGGGUAACCUCCCAUCAGAGGGGAUAACACUUGGAAACAGGUCGUAAACCGAUACUGAUGGAAGGACCCGCGGUGCAUUAGCUAGUUGGUGAGGUAACGGCCCACCAAGGCCACGAUGCAUAGCCGACCAGAGAGGGUGAUCGGCCACCCUGGGCCUGGGCCACGGCCCAGACUCCUACGGUAGGCAGCAGUAGGGAAUCUUCGGCAAUGGACGAAAGUCUGACCGAGCACCGCCGCGUGGGUGAAGAAGGUUUUCGGAUCGUAAACCUCUGUUGUUAGAGAAGCGGUAUCUAACCAGAAAGCCACGGCUAACUACGUGCCAGCAGCCGCGGUAAUUC